rnacentral:rRNA from 1 species
UACGAAGGGGGCUAGCGUUGUUCGGAAUUACUGGGCGUAAAGCGCACGUAGGCGGAUUUGUAAGUCAGGGGUGAAGUCCCGGGGCUCAACCUCGGAACUGCCUUUGAUACUGCAAGUCUUGAGUCCGGAAGAGGUGAGUGGAAUUCCUAGUGUAGAGGUGAAAUUCGUAGAUAUUAGGAAGAACACCAGUGGCGAAGGCGGCUCACUGGUCCGGUACUGACGCUGAGGUGCGAAAGCGUGGGGAGCAAACAGG